rnacentral:rRNA from 1 species
GGACCCGCACAAGCGGUGGAGCAUGUGGUUUAAUUCGAUGAUACGCGAGGAACCUUACCAGGGCUUAAAUGGGAGAUGACAGGGGCAGAGACGCCCUUUUCUUCGGACUACUUACAAGGUGCUGCAUGGUUGUCGUCAGCUCGUGCCGUGAGGUGUCAGGUUAAGUCCUAUAACGAGCGCAACCCCUGUCGUUAGUUACCAGCAAGUAAUGUUGGGUACUCUAGCGAGACUGCCGGUGCAAACCGUGAGGAAGGUGGGGAUGACGUCAAAUCAUCACGGCCCUUACGUCCUGGCUACACACGUGCUACAAUGGCCGGUACAGAGAGCAGCCACUACGCGAGUAGGAGCGAA